GAUGAACGCUAGCGGCAGGCUUAAUACAUGCAAGUCGAGGGGUAGCAAGAUUGUAGCAAUACAAUUGUUGACGACCGGCAAACGGGUGCGGAACACGUACACAACCUUCCUACAAGUGGGGAAUAGCCCAGAGAAAUUUGGAUUAAUACCCCGUAACAUAGCGAUGUGGCAUCACAUUGCUAUUAUAGCUUCGGCGCUUGUUGAUGGGUGUGCGGCUGAUUAGAUAGUUGGCGGGGUAACGGCCCACCAAGUCUACGAUCAGUAGCUGAUGUGAGAGCAUGAUCAGCCACACGGGCACUGAGACACGGGCCCGACUCCUACGGGAGGCAGCAGUAAGGAAUAUUGGACAAUGGACGCAAGUCUGAUCCAGCCAUGCCGCGUGAAGGAUUAAGGUCCUCUGGAUUGUAAACUUCUUUUAUAUGGGACGAAAAAAGGUCUUUCUAGACCGUCUGACGGUACCUUAUGAAUAAGCACCGGCUAACUCCGUGCCAGCCGCCGCCGUAACAC
rnacentral:rRNA from 1 species